AUUGAACGCUGGCGGCAGGCUUAACACAUGCAAGUCGAGCGGGGGAAGGUAGCUUGCUACCGGACCUAGCGGCGGACGGGUGAGUAAUGCUUAGGAAUCUGCCUAUUAGUGGGGGACAACAUCUCGAAAGGGAUGCUAAUACCGCAUACGUCCUACGGGAGAAAGCAGGGGAUCUUCGGACCUCGCGCUAAUAGAUGAGCCUAAGUCGGAUUAGCUAGUUGGUGGGGUAAAGGCCUACCAAGGCGACGAUCUGUAGCGGGUCUGAGAGGAUGAUCCGCCACUGGGACUGAGACACGGCCCAGACUCCUACGGGAGGCAGCAGUGGGGAAUAUUGGACAAUGGGGGGAACCCUGAUCCAGCCAUGCCGCGUAUGUGAAGAAGGCCUUAUGGUUGUAAAGCACUUUAAGCGAGGAGGAGGCUACUUUAGUUAAUACCUAGAGAUAGUGGACGUUACUCGCAGAAUAAGCACCGGCUAACUCUGUGCCAGCCGCCGCCGUAAGAC
rnacentral:rRNA from 1 species